CUUCACCGACAGGGGAGCGCGCGGCGCUGAGAGUGCGGGGUCGCCCCGCAGACCCUCGAACCUGAUCUGGGUAAUGCCAGCGCAGGGAGCUCGGUCUUCUCCAGCC
rnacentral:ncRNA from 2 species